rnacentral:pre_miRNA from 1 species
AAAGUACUCCCUCUGUCCCAAAAUUCUUGUCUUAGAUUUGUCUAGAUACGGAUGUAUCCAGUCACAUUUUAGUAUUAGAUACAUCCGUAUCUAGAAAAAUCUAAGACAAGAAAUUUGGGACAGAGGGAGUAGUUG